GCCGUGGUGGCGGAAUGGUAGACGCCGGAGACUUAAAAUCUUCUGUCCGCAAGGGCGUGCGGGUUCGAGUCCCGCCCGCGGCACCA
rnacentral:tRNA from 1 species